rnacentral:rRNA from 1 species
CGGACAGAAAGGGAGCUUGCUCCCGGAUGUUAGCGGCGGACGGGUGAGUAACACGUGGGUAACCUGCCUGUAAGACUGGGAUAACUCCGGGAAACCGGAGCUAAUACCGGAUAGUUCCUUGAACCGCAUGGUUCAAGGAUGAAAGACGGUUUCGGCUGUCACUUACAGAUGGACCCGCGGCGCAUUAGCUAGUUGGUGGGGUAAUGGCUCACCAAGGCGACGAUGCGUAGCCGACCUGAGAGGGUGAUCGGCCACACUGGGACUGAGACACGGCCCAGACUCCUACGGGAGGCAGCAGUAGGGAAUCUUCCGCAAUGGACGAAAGUCUGACGGAGCAACGCCGCGUGAGUGAUGAAGGUUUUCGGAUCGUAAAGCUCUGUUGUUAGGGAAGAACAAGUGCGAGAGUAACUGCUCGCACCUUGACGGUACCUAACCAGAAAGCCACGGCUAACUACGUGCCAGCAGCCGCGGUAAUACGUAGGUGGCAAGCGUUGUCCGGAAUUAUUGGGCGUAAAGGGCUCGCAGGCGGUUUCUUAAGUCUGAUGUGAAAGCCCCCGGCUCAACCGGGGAGGGUCAUUGGAAACUGGGAAACUUGAGUGCAGAAGAGGAGAGUGGAAUUCCACGUGUAGCGGUGAAAUGCGUAGAGAUGUGGAGGAACACCAGUGGCGAAGGCGACUCUCUGGUCUGUAACUGACGCUGAGGAGCGAAAGCGUGGGGAGCGAACAGGAUUAGAUACCCUGGUAGUCCACGCCGUAAACGAUGAGUGCUAAGUGUUAGGGGGUUUCCGCCCCUUAGUGCUGCAGCUAACGCAUUAAGCACUCCGCCUGGGGAGUACGGUCGCAAGACUGAAACUCAAAGGAAUUGACGGGGGCCCGCACAAGCGGUGGAGCAUGUGGUUUAAUUCGAAGCAACGCGAAGAACCUUACCAGGUCUUGACAUCCUCUGACACCCUAGAGAUAGGGCUUUCCCUUCGGGACAGAGUGACAGGUGUGCAUGGUUGUCGUCAGCUCGUGUCGUGAGAUGUUGGGUUAAGUCCCGCACGAGCGCAACCCUUGAUCUUAGUGCCAGCAUUUAGUGGCACUCUAAGGUGACUGCGUGACA